UACAGAGGGUGCGAGCGUUGUCCGGAAUCACUGGGCGUAAAGGGUGCGUAGGCGGGUCUUUAAGUCAGGGGUGAAAUCCUGGAGCUCAACUCCAGAACUGCCUUUGAUACUGCAAAUCUCGAGUCCGGAAGAGGUGAGUGGAAUUCCUAGUGUAGAGGUGAAAUUCGUAGAUAUUAGGAAGAACACCAGUGGCGAAGGCGGCUCACUGGUCCGGUACUGACGCUGAGGUGCGAAAGCGUGGGGAGCAAACAGG
rnacentral:rRNA from 1 species